UUUCCGUAGGUGAACCUGCGGAAGGAUCAUUCAUAAUAAAGUGUUUUAUGGCACUUUGUAAAAAUCCAUAUCCACCUUGUGUGCAAUGUUAGAUCUCGUCAAUCUUGGCGAGAUUUUUAUACAUCAACUCAUUCUUUAACUAAUUUGUCUGAAAAAUAUUAUGAAUACUUAAUUCAAAAUACAACUUUCAACAACGGAUCUCUUGGCUCUC
rnacentral:misc_RNA from 1 species